GGUUGACCUCGGAUCAGGUAGGAUACCCGCUGAACUUAAGCAUAUCAAUAAGCG
rnacentral:rRNA from 1 species